rnacentral:lncRNA from 1 species
CUUUCCAGCUAUGACAAAGUUAAUCUCUAUUUGAUUAGAUACACUAUGUUAACGAUCUCUUGAAUGGACUAUGAGUGUUUCAUUUUGUUCUGUCUCAAACCCGAGUUACCAGAUUGGCUUCAAUCAGGGCUGGCCUAAACAACAUCCAAACUUAUUUUGUAGAUAUUCAUGUACAUAUCUUAUCUCUCCCAUUGAGCAUCCUCUCAACAAGAAAUAAGGAAACAGCCACCAGAAGAGGAGUCACCCUUUUCCAGCCAUCAUUGAGCCUCUGGCCAUAAGACUGGAGAAACCAAUCUAGAGACCAGAAAGUAGACACAUCAGAGAACUUUCAGAGUGUGGGGGAGAGCAAAUGGAGAACAGAGGUGCAGAGCAAGUUUCUAUUAGGAAGAAAUGCCAAGCACAAGAAUAGGGAGGGAGGGUAGGCAAGAUAGAGUGUAGAAAGCAAACCAUCUGAAGGUACUGGAAUCAGUGUGACAUCUGGCUCAGAGAGGCAGUCAAAGCUGUUUCCCCAUAUAAGGAAUCCUUGGAGCUGGUGUGAGGUUAUGGAUCAGAAGGUCCAUAAAAAGAGUUUUCCAUAGGAAAAGAAGAAUUGUCAUCAUCAUCAACAAAGAACACUGAUUAAAGCACCUACUAGGACAGAGAUGUCUCUUUAUUUCUGCUUUUUACAAAAUGAGAGUCAUCAUGUGGGUGAGAGCCCAGCCUGGUGCCCUGAUUUAUACAGCUAUCCCAGACCCUCAUUGGAUUCCCAGCCCAGAAGAGUGAGACAAGGUUAUCUAUCACAACCUGCAGCUCUCCCUGGGCUCAUUGGAAAGGAGGCAGGCAGGUAGAGAGGAAGGAAAUCCCAGGGGCUUCUGCCCAAAAGACACUACUUUCAAAACAUCUAAGGAUGCUGCUAUGGCACUGAUGGGAAGAUAAGACUACCUGACCACUAAAGGUAAUGAUGUGUGUGUGUGUGGGUGGGUGGUGGUGGCAAGGAAAUGAGACCUUUCCCAUUU